UCAUAGCCCUGUCCCGAUGCUAUUGGGAGAAGCAAAAAUCUUAUUGUAAUUGUAUUGAAACCGCAAUAGAUAGAAGCAAACCGCAGGAUUAGCU
rnacentral:sRNA from 1 species